AUGGAUGAGAUGGAUCUUGGGAUGGAUGAUGAAGAACGCGAGAAAGAGCGGGAGAAACAGCGUGAAAAGCAAAGAGCCAU
rnacentral:rRNA from 1 species